rnacentral:lncRNA from 10 species
GACACAAUUAACAAGAUGAAACAACAACCCACAGAAUGGGAGAAAAUAUUUGCAAAUCAUAUAUCAGAUAAGGGGUUAAUAUCUGGAAUGUAUAAAAACCUCCUACAACUUAAUAACCUCAAUAACAAUAAAAAACCAAAUAACCCAAUUAAAAAAUAGCAAACGACUUGAACAAACAUUUCUCCACAGAAGACUACAGGUGACCAAUAAGCACACGGAGAAACGUGAAGAUGAAAGUGUCAGAAGAAUACUGUAUGUUUUUUCAAAGUUAUAGGAGGGUAAGGUGAGAACACAAGAACAAAAACUUAAUUGCAGAGGAAAAAUAGAAAAACUCAGCAGGUCUGAGAUGGCAGCUCUGAUCUAGACACAGCAGGUGCUGCACCCAGCCUCCAGAGGCCCACAGCCGAAGGCCUGCAGAGGCUGAGUCAGAAAGGACCUAGUGAUUGCACUUCACUGCUAAGGAAAAGGUGAGAGGGGGCUGACAGCAAGUAAUGGGACCUGUGUUUCAUUCCUCCCUUUUGACAUGGUAUGACGGUAACACCCCGUGACCACUCUCUAAAGAGAUGAGGAAGAGGCCAGGAGUGAGGCUUGUUUGGUAGAGGACAGAGGGUCUGAUACAAAAUCACCCUAAAAUAUUCUCUAAUCACCAAUUGGUCCCCGCUAUGACCAGGAGUUUGUG